UGAGGAAUAUUGCUCAAUGGGCGCAAGCCUGAAGCAGCGACGCCGCGUGGGUGACGAAGGUCUUCGGAUCGUAAAGCCCUUUUGCCGGGGACGAGGAAGGACGGUACCCGGUGAAGAAGUGUCGGCUAACUACGUGCCAGCAGCCGCGGUAAAACGUAGGACACAAGCGUUAUCCGGAAUUACUGGGCGUAAAGCGCGAGCAGGCGGUCGAUCAAGCCACGUGUGAAAGCUCCGGGCUAAACUCGGAGAGGACAGGUGGGACUGGUGGACUGGAGUCCAGGAGAGGGAUGCGGAAUUCCGGGUGUAGUGGUGAAAUGCGUAGAGAUCCGGAGGAACACCAGAGGCGAAGGCGGCAUCCUGGCCUGGUACUGACGCUGAGACGCGAAAGCAUGGGGAGCGA
rnacentral:rRNA from 1 species